rnacentral:lncRNA from 1 species
CUGAACAGCAGUUAAGUAUUUCUUUUCAAGAAAGAAAGUAACGAGCCACUUAAUAAAUACAACUCGAGCUGCCAUAUAUGGAAUUUUUGUGCUAUAGACAUUUUCAUUGUUUCGUGUUGCAGUAACAUAUACAGGUCUUGGUCUUGUAUCAGGAAUAUCUAGAACAGGUUUGUAGAGGUUAGUUUGUUUUGUAAAAGACGGAAACAAGUGUGGAAGGUAGUAUUUUCUGAACAAGGUAAAGAGAAACUUGAAACCAGUGUCUUGGUUCUCCUUAUUCUUCC